GUCAGGAUGGCCGAGCGGUCUAAGGCGCUUCGUUCAGAUCGCAGUCCUAUUCUGUGGGCGUGGGUUCGAAUCCCACUUCGGACA